rnacentral:pre_miRNA from 1 species
UCUGGCCGCCCUCUCCAGUGGAGAGGACGACCGGACUGGUCGUCCUCUCCACUGGAGAGGGCGGCCUGA